rnacentral:lncRNA from 1 species
GAUGUAAGCCAGUAUUAUUUGUGUUGUUAUUAUUAUCAUCAUCAUCAUCAUCAUCAUUAUCAUCAUCGAAGCAUUUGGCUUAUUUCUAGGGGCUGUGGGCCUGUGGGAAAGCUUUUUUGGUCUCCCAGGAAGAUUUCUUAGCUGCCUCUCCAAAGCCUGUCCCAUACUAGCCCCAUCACAAUGGGGUUCUCUGUUUCCCCUCACCGUCCAGCUGUCCAGGCUAAGUCUAUGGCUUCCCCCAGGACACUGCAGAGGUUAGAGGGCACAACCCAGCCUCUGAAGACAAUGGCAAAA